AGGGCUGGUCACACCCCUCUUGAGACCUGUGUGGUGUGGGGCCAUCACCCAAGGAUGCUGCUGCUUCUGCUGCUUCUGGGGCCCAGCUCCGGGCUCGGUGCUGGCGUCUCUCAGAGUCCAAGCAGGGUCGUCUGUGCACGUGGGACCCGUGUGACGAUCGAGUGCCGUGCAGAGGGCAUUCAGGCCACAACUGUGUUUUGGUAUCAGCAGUUCCCGAAUCAGGGCCUCGUCCUGAUGGCGACUUCCAAUGUGGGCUCGCCCGCCACACACGAGCAAGGUUUCCCCCAGGACAGCUUUCGCAUCAGCCACCCAAACCAGUCUUUCUCGGAUUUGACGGUGCCGAGUGCGCGCCCUGAGCACAGCGGCCUCUACUUCUGUGCUGCCCGUGACACAGCGCGGGGCGGAGAUGCGAGGCCCAGGCAGGAACCUCUGCCCCUCUCCCCUGCACCCAGCCCGGGGGACCCUGUGGGAGGGGGUGUGGUGGAUGGAGGGAAACCACAGCUCCUCUGA